UGUGGUCAUGGUCAGGUCGCUCAAUUCUGGUUUUCUUUUUUUAUGUAACACUGAUACCUAGUAAAAGCCUGAUAUACAGUGUUGCCAGCUUUUGUGUAAUUAUUGAUGGGAGAGCUGACAGGGACUGUGAAAAUCCUCAAGACUACCAGUUCAUUCCAGUGAGAGUACAUCACAAUACUUGUUGGAAAAAAAAAAAGAUAGAAUCUGUGAUUAGGUAUAUAAUAUAUAAUAUUACCUCUCCUUUUAUUACAGUUGUGAGGUAAGAAUCAUGCAAAGUCACAAUAUUGUGCAAAGACAUUUUAGGGAAAGAGGUUUCCCUGAGGGCCAAAAGAAAAAAAAAAAGAUCUGUACAUUUAUAACUAUACUUUGUCACACAUGGUUUCUUUGUUAGCUUCCCAUUGAUCCACUAAGAUGCCUAGGUAUGGUUACUUUAUUAAAAACUCCCUCCACUGUGUGCAAGGUACUUCCUUUGUGCUUUUCAGAAAUUAUCUUGGGGUCCAGACAGUGGCACACCUGGUUAAGUGUACACAGUACCAACAGCAAAGGACCCGGGUUUGAGUGCCGGCUCCCCACCUGCAGUGGGGAAGCUUCAUUAAUGGUGAAGCAGGUCUUUAGGUGUCUAUUUUUCACUCUCUCUCUCUCUAUCUCCCCCCUCUCUCUCAAUUUCUCCCUGUCCUAGCUAAUAAAAUGGGGGUGGGGGAUAGAAAUGGCCACUGGGAGCUAUGGGUUCCGAGCGCCCACAUGCAACCCUAGCAAUAACACUGGAGGGAAAAAAAAGAGAAAGAAAGAAAGAAAGAAAAGGAGACAAAAGACAAGAAGAGAAAAUAAGAUAAGAGAAAGGAAAAGAAAAGGAAAGAAAAGGAGAGAAAAGAAAAGAAAAGAAAAGAAAAGAAAAGAAAAGAAAAGAAA